rnacentral:rRNA from 1 species
AAAGAUGAUGAGGUUAAUAGGUUCGAGGUGGAAGCAUGGUGACAUGUGUAGCUGACGAAUACUAAUCGAUCGAAGACUUAAUCAA